GUCACUGGGCAGGAAAGAGCACAAGAGAAUGAUGCCAGGGUUAGAUUUCAGCACCAUGCUGCCAGGCGGAGGUGGCCUUUGUGCCUGUGACAAGGAGACCUCUUCUCAUCCACCGUCUCAUCUCAGCGGGGAGUUGGGCUCAAGCUGCUUCCCCUCCCCUCCCUUUUGCCCAAAGUCAGAAUGAAAAAAGAUGAAAAGCUACUUUCCCUCAGCGUGGAGGAGGAGGAGGAGGAGGAGGAGGAAAGCCCCGGCUGCCUGGAUCACCCUGCUGCCCACCGGGCCCCCUCGCAGUCACCUGCAUAGGAAUGCAGGGAUACAGAUCCCCUCGGGAUCCCCUUUAAAGGCUGCCCGGAGCGUGGGGGGGCAUCGGGGGAUCGGCUCUCUCAGACUUCCCGGUUGCCUCUCACGCGGAAAAAAAAAAAAAUCGGCCGCUCGACGAAAAGGAGAAGGUGCCUCUUUGGAGGCAGCUCAUCAAGGCCCUGAUUAGGAACCACAUCAAAACCAAAGUGGCAGCUGAGAAGGGGCUGAAACUCCAGAAGAAACCACUUCCAGUCACAUAUUCCCCCCAACCUGGAAGAGCAGAAGCCCCUGGGAAGGAUGUGCUCUUUGGGAUCACAUUCCCUCCAGGACUGGUCACACCACUUCAGACACCACUAAAAAGCCCCAGAGCAGCACUGCUCGGUCCCAGCUGGAGCACCAGAGAAAUCCUGAGGAUCAGCUACUGCAGAGAGGAAAACCAGCAACAAAAGGCAGGGAAAAGCAGCACCUUCCCUUUUGGAACAUGGACAGUUUUCCAGAACAUUUUCAGGACUGAUUCCAUUUAAAGCCACUAAGCCAGUAAUUUUUAGGGCAUCGAGGGAACAAGAAGCCUCAGAAAGUCCAAGACAUGUUUUGCCUGGACUCUGAAUUCAGGGACACUGAAAAAGCUUGGGAUGCUUGCUGGGAACACCAAAGAGCAGCCAAGGAAAAGAUGCCACGGCAGAGAGGCACAGAAGAUAAAUCCUGGGAAAAACCAGGGGGACAUUUAUGGCAGCAGGAAGAAGCUGUUUGUGCUGGAUUUCUACGGGAAGAGCUGGACAGGCAAAGCUGGGUCUGAUCCCAGGUUUAUCCCACCUGGCACCGGAGGGGACGAGGAAUCAGCUCAGCCCAUCCCUCACAGUCACAUCUUCAGCACACUGGGAUUUGCCAAAAAAGGAGGCAAAGGAAGGCUCUGAUCCCUGUCAGAGCUGGAGUCACCUGUGGGAAUUCUGCUCCACAGGAACCUCUUUGUUCAACGCCGACGUCGGCGGGGGAUGAGCAGAAGAGAUGAGGGAACAAACACCCCUCAGAGCUGGGAAUGGGCCACCUGCCCAGAAACCCAUCCUGGUUAGCCAGGGAAUGGCCAUGGACAGGGGGGGUGGCACAGGAACUGUCACCUGUCAGGGACAGGACCAUGACCCAGGAGAUCAGAGCCCACGGAGUCGGGCCCUCGCCCCCGACGGGUCCUGGAAGAACGAGGCACUUUGUGGGGAUAACAAAAACAAGUGCUGGGAAA